UACGGGGGGUGCGAGCGUUAAUCGGAAUUACUGGGCGUAAAGCGUGCGCAGGCGGUUUUGUAAGCCAGAUGUGAAAUCCCCGGGCUUAACCUGGGAAUGGCAUUUGGGACUGCAAGGCUCGAGUGCGGCAGAGGAGACUGGAAUUCCUGGUGUAGCAGUGAAAUGCGUAGAUAUCAGGAGGAACACCGAUGGCGAAGGCAGGUCUCUGGGCUGACACUGACGCUCAUGCACGAAAGCGUGGGGAGCAAACAGG
rnacentral:rRNA from 1 species